UACGUAGGGUGCGAGCGUUAAUCGGAAUUACUGGGCGUAAAGCGUGCGCAGGCGGUUCGUUAAGUCAGCUGUGAAAGCCCCGGGCUCAUCCUGGGAAUUGCGGUUGAAACUGGCGAACUAGAAUCUGGCAGAGGGGGGUGGAAUUCCACGUGUAGCAGUGAAAUGCGUAGAGAUGUGGAGGAACACCGAUGGCGAAGGCAGCCCCCUGGGCUGAGAUUGACGCUCAGGCACGAAAGCGUGGGGAGCAAACAGG
rnacentral:rRNA from 1 species